GUCAACUACCCACCGAGCCUAACGGCAUCGGUGGGCUUGCAGGAAGAAGGAUAGAGAAGAGAGGAUAGAGGAAGAAAAAACCUCAAUCCUCAAAUUUCAAUCCUUGAUAGCGAGCCCAGGUUGAUUAGCUUCAGCCACCAAUCUACGGAUUGAUGGGGAACUACGUUAGCUAGGAAUAUAUAGGCACUACGGGAUUAGCCGAGUCCCGUACCCUGCGAGCGUGACUAAACAUCGCUGAGGGGUAGGCGAAGUGGAGCGUGGUAAAACCCUAGCUAACAUUAGCGACGGCAACCACUU
rfam:Anaerolineaceae bacterium 4572_78 ex4572_78_scaffold_3846, whole genome shotgun sequence.